CCAUCAACAAACACAGUCCAAUCUUCUUCCCUAUAAAAAAAACAAAAACAAGUGAUGACGGAGUGUGUACACAAAUCACAAGAAUUGUUGUGGUUUCUUAUCUCACAGAUCUUGCGUUGAUACAUACUGGAUAAUUUAUUUGAACCCAAAACUCAGCUCUCAACCAAAGUCGAACUCAAAUCUUCCAUCAAAUUCCGAUAAAAAAUGUCAUCACGCUGGCUCUGUUGUUGGAAAUCCUCUUCGCCCUUUUCUUCCCCUUCUCGGAGUUUGCCUCCGAUACGGUUGCUGCACUGUGGAAUUCUUCAUAUGUUUGUUAACGUUACUGGGUUUUCUCCCGGGGAUAAUCUAUGCCCUAUACGCCAUCGUAUUAGUCAACCCAGAUCGUGAUGAUUACCGUGGUCGUUAUUAUGUUCUUGCUUGAUGAGAAUCGGGUGUGUUCUGAUCUGGAUCUGUGUUUAUAUCAUUAUGAUUGUGUGAUCUAUUGAUUGAUGAUUUGUGUUUACAUCUAUACUCUAGCAACUUAACGUAUUUAGUUCUUAAUCUAUUGAUGGUUCAUUGUUCUAUCUUUUU